GAUGAAGAACGCAGCGAAAUGCGAUACUUGGUGUGAAUUGCAGAAUCCCGUGAACCAUCGAGUCUUUGAACGCAAGUUGCGCCCGAAGCCAUUAGGCCGAGGGCACGCCUGCCUGGGCGUCACACGUCGUUGCCCCCCCAUCUACUCCUUCGGGAUUGCGGGGGGCGGAUGAUGGCCUCCCGUGCGCCUAGUCGCGCGGUUGGCAUAAAGGCCAAGUCCUCGGCGACGCACGCCACGACAAUCGGUGGUUGCGAAACCUCGGUUGCCCGUCGUGUGCGGUCGUCGCGCAUCGAGGGCUCGAAAAAAUUGCCGGGCUCCGGCUCGGCUUUCAACGCGACCCCAGGUCAGGCGGGGUUACCCGCUGAAUUUAAGCAUAUCAAUAAGCGGAGGA
rnacentral:misc_RNA from 1 species